rnacentral:rRNA from 1 species
AGUGAACGCUGGCGGUAGGCCUAACACAUGCAAGUCGAACGGCAGCACAGUAAUAGCUUGCCCUUAUGGUGGGCGAGUGGCGGAGGGGUGUGGAACACAUCGGACUCUACUUUUUCUUGGGGGUUAACGUAGGGAAAGUUACUCUAAUACCGCAUACGACCUUGCGUUGAAAGCAGGGGGUCUUCGGACCUUGCGCGAUUGAAUGAGCGGAUGUCGGAUUAUCUAGUUGGCGGGGGAAAGGCGGACCAAGGCGACGAUCCGUAGCUGGUCUGAGAGGAUGGUCAGCCACACUGGAUCUGAGCCACGGUCCAGACUCCUACGGGAGCCAGCAGUGGGGAAUAUUGGACGAUGGGGGCAAGCCUGCUCCAGCCAUACCGAGUGGGUGAAGAAGGCCUUCGGGUUGUAAAGCCCUUUUGUCGGCAAAGACAAGCAGCAGGUUGAUACCCCGCUGUUCUGACGGUACCCAAAGAAUAAGCACCGGCUAACUUCGUG